AUUGAACGCUGGCGGCAGGCCUAACACAUGCAAGUCGAACGAGUGGCGGACGGGUGAAUAAUGUCUGGGAAACUGCCUGAUGGAGGGGUAUAACUUCUGAAAACUGUAUCUAAUACCGCAUACCAUCGGAUGUGCCCAUAUGGGUUGAGCUAGUGGGUGGGGUAAAGUCUCACCUAGGCGACGAUCCCUAGCUGGUCUGAGAGGAUGAACAGCCAAACUGGAACUGAGACACGGUCCAGACUCCUACGGGAGGCAGCAGUGGGGAAUAUUGCACAAUGGGCGCAAGCCUGAUGCAGCCAUGCCGCGUGUAGGAAGAAGGCCUUAGGGUUGUAAAGUACUUUCAGCGGGGAGGCGUUACCCGCAGAAGAAGCACCGGCUAACUCCGUGCCAGCAGCCGCGGUAAUUC
rnacentral:rRNA from 1 species